rnacentral:rRNA from 1 species
UGACCGUACUAAGGUAGCAUAAUAAUUUGCCUUUUAAUUGGAGGCUAGUAUGAAUGGUUUGACGUGAAAUAUACUGUCUCAACUAUAUUUAGUAGAAUUUAACUUUUAGGUGAAGAGGCCUAAAUCUUGUGGGAAGACAAGAAGACCCUAUUGAGCUUUAAAUAUUUGUGUUAGUGAGAACCUAAGAUUUAUAUGAUGGUCACUACUUAGAAGUAUGUUGGUUGGGGCGACCGAGGAGUACAAAAAUAACCUCCUCGUAAUGUAAAGAAUUUGUUAUCAACGAACCUGUAAUAUGGGUUAUUCGGUAGUUACCAUAGGGAUAACAGCGUAAUUCUUUCGAAGAGUUCAUAUCGAAGAAAGAGAUUGCGACCUCGAUGUUGGAUUAAGGUGUCCUAAGGG